AUGCAGCCCCUUGCCGCCCCCGCCCCUGGCACCACGUGCUCCGUCAGUCCCAGCCGGGGCAGGGGAGCUAGGAGGCCUCGGGCGUCCCGGGCCAAGGCCCCCAGCGGGUGGGGCGGGGCGUGCGGGGAGGGGCAGAACGGCCUCAGAGCGCAGGCCUCGGCCUCAGGCCCCGCCCCCCCCCGCGCGCUCUCGGUCGCCCCGCCCCCGGCUCCGCCCCGCCGCCGCCGCGGGCGCGCGCGUGUCAGGCGCCUCGGCAGCCGCCAUUUUGGAGUGAGUCGGCCCGAACCCCGAGCCCGCGGCGGAGCCGGUGAGGCCUGCGGCGGCGGCGGCGGCGGCGGCGGCGGCGGCGGCGGCGGUGGCGGCGGUGACGGAGCCGCGGAGCCCGAGGAGUGCCCGGAGCCCGGCGCCGAGGCCGAGGCGCAGCAUGGAUUAUUCCUUUUUGGAGCUUGUCGCGUUUCUUCCUCAAGGCCCUUCCUGAGUCCCCGACUGCAUGGGCGACUCGGGUUCUCCCCUGGACCCUUCCUGGGCAGGCUAACGCUGAGCAAUGUAAGAACCAGUGGAUUUGGCAGGGUGAUCCACAGAACCAGGGAAUGUGGUGCCUUAGAUUGGUUGGUUUAAGGUAAUGAAAAUUUAAAAUUUUGGGUUUUUUUCCCCUCCAAAGUACUUUUAUGAGAUUCUUAAUGUAGUAGAGAAUAGCUUAAUGUAGAGAAUAGCUUUUGCCUAAUCUUUCUAAUCUAUUACAGUAGUCACUGUUUCAUAUUCAUAGUGCCCUAGUGAUGUAGUUUAGUAGAGUAUUAUUAUAUCACAAAUGGAGAAACUGAGGCACAGAGUAGCUGUGUAAAUUGCCCAGAGUCACAUAGGCUAUUCAGAGUGGGACUACCAUUAAUGAUAGGACCAUCAAGCCAGGUCUUCUGGCUCCUCAGUUUUUUCUUCUGUAUUCAUUCUGCCUUUCAUGUGCAAGUGUGGUUUGUCAUCUUGAGAUUUAUUCCUAGAGAGAAAUGACCGAAAUUUCUGACCUGCCUGCCAGCAUAGUACAUUAUGAAGACUUACUGAAUUAAGAAAUGUUGAGGCAGAUGAGGGUGAAACCAUUUCCUUCCCUUUGUUUCUUGCCAUAGACUUAGACCUGGGGUAAAAGCCAAAAGUAUUAAUUCUGAAAAGUUCCCCCCCUCAAAAAAAGAAAGAAAGAAAGAAAGAAAGCAUCACUGCCACCAUCACCAUAUGCCUUUAAAAAUGAAUACUGAAGGUCUUGCUGGCUUGGUCUUCUUCGUUAUCUUCCUUUACGUUGUAACACUCCAGUGUCUGAAGAGGAAUACACAUGACUGGGAAAAGAACAGAGUAUCCAUUAGCUCUCAUUACAUUGGCCUGCUUUGGGUGAAUUUACAUUGAAGUGAAUGCUCUGAAGAUUGAGG
rnacentral:lncRNA from 1 species